GGAAAUUGAGACUUCGACUUUCUUACGCUAGCGCACUCUCUCUCACUCCUUCCACAAUCUUCUGGUUCCUUCCUUUCUCCCUUUCUUCCCCCUUUUUGAUCUCCCCUCUCCCAAAACUCUCUUCCUUUUGUUUCGUCUUCAAAACAUUCAAAUCUACGGUGUCGGAUCAAGAAACUGAAUCGGAAGCUUGUGCAUACAUUGGGCUAGUUUUCAUGCUUUGCUGGCCAUUAUUCAGGAUUUUGCUUUGCUAUAUGCCCGUCGAGAGAGGAGACCGAUAAGGUGAGUUGCUGCAAUUGUCACAGUAAGAAGACUUUGCUUGGGGUGCUAAUUGAGUUGAGACACUCGAAUUUAAAUCGACUGUGAGGAACACGUUUUUCAGGAAACAAAGAUAUCAUGCCGAGGAGAAAAAUAAAUUAUUUGCGGGUUGU